CACUAGUGUAAAUCGUCAUUGCUGCGGUUAAAAAGCUCGUAGUUGGAUCUGAGUCGCAUGCAAUGGUUCGCCUUUGGCGUUAACCAUUGUUGUGACUAUUUGCUGGUUUUCUAUUGAAAUUUCGAUUUCUUUAGUGGCUAGCGAGUUUACUUUGAAUAAAUUAGAGUGCUCAGAACAAGCGUUUGCUUGAAUGGUCGAUCAUGGAAUAAUAAAAGAGGACUUCGGUUCUAUUUAUUGGUUCAGGAACUGAAAUAAUGGUUAAGAGGGACAAUUCGGGGGCAUUCGUAUCCCUGCGCGAGAGGUGAAAUUCGUGGACCGCAGGGGGACGCCCUAAAGCGAAAGCAUUUGCCAAGAAUGUCUUCAUUAAUCAAGAACGAAAGUCAGAGGUUCGAAGGCGAUUAGAUACCGCCCUAGUUCUGACCGUAAACUAUGCCAUCUAGCGAUCCGAUGGGGUAUUGUUGCCUUGUCGAGGAGCUUCCCGGAAACGAAAGUCUUUCGGUUCCUGGGGUAGUAUGGUUGCAAAGCUGAAACUUAAAGAAAUUGACGGAAUGGCACCACCAGGAGUGGAGCCUGCGGCUUAAUUUGACUCAACACGGGAAAACUCACCCGGCCCGGACACCGUAAGGAUUGACAGAUUGAAAGCUCUUUCUCGAUUUGGUGGUUGGUGGUGCAUGGCCGUUCUUAGUUGGUGGAGCGAUUUGUCUGGUUUAUUCCGAUAACGAGCGAGACUCUAGCCUGCUAAAUAGUGACAAGAUUUUUAUGUCUAGUCUACUUCUUAGAGGGAUAAGCGGUGUUUAGCCGCACGAGAUUGAGCGAUAACAGGUCUGUGAUGCCCUUAGAUGUCCGGGGCUGCACGCGCGCUACAAUGGAAGAAUCAGUUGGCCUAUCCAUUGCCGAAAGGUAUUGGUAAACCGUUGAAACUCUUCCGUGACCGGGAUAGGGAAUUGUAAUUAUUUCCCUUGAACGAGGAAUUCCUAGUAAGUGUGAGUCAUCAGCUCACGCUGAUUACGUCCCUGCCAUUUGUACACACCGCCCGUCGCUGUCCGGGACUGAGCUGUCUCGAGAGGACUGCGGACUGCUGUAUUGAGGCCUUCGGGUCGUGGUAUAGCGGGAAACAGUUCAAUCGCAAUGGCUUGAACCGGGUAAAAGUCGUAACAAGGUAUCUGUAGGUGAACCUGCAGAUGGAUCAUCG
rnacentral:rRNA from 1 species